GUCUUUUUUUGUUGUUGUACACGCACGCACAAGUGCCGUGUGAACCAGGCUUAAGGGAAAUAAUGGCACUCCAAAUGAAAGAGUCCUGGGGCCAGGACACUUCAUGUUCCCGGAACUAAGAAGAACACAAAAGGGGUGCACUGGAUGCUGCAAACAGCAGCUGGAGGCUGAAUUAAAGGAGCUGGAUAUAAAGGUUUUACCACCCUUCAAGAUGACAGAUGGAGAGGCCCACGGGAUGAACUCAGUGGUGAAGACGAUGGAAUAUGGC